GCGAAGGUAACACUUCUUGGAGGUCCGAACCCACUAAUGUUGAAAAAUUAGGGGAUGAGCUGUGGGUAGGGGUGAAAGGCUAAACAAAUCUGGAGAUAGCUGGUUCUCUCCGAAAACUAUUUAGGUAGUGCCUCAUAUAUCGUCUUUAGGGGUAGAGCUCUGUUAUGGCUAGGGGAUCGACUAGAUUUACCAAACCAUUGCAAACUUCGAAUACUAAAGAACGUCAGUAUGGGAGACAGACAUUGGGUGCUAACGUCCAGUGUCGAAAGGGAAACAACCCAGACCCUCAGCUAAGGUCCCAAAGAUAUAAUUAAGUGGUAAACGAAGUGGAAAGGCAUAAACAGUCAGGAGAUUGGCUUAGAAGCAGCCAUUCUUUAAAGAAAGCGUAAUAGCUCACUGAUCGAGUCUUUCUGCGCGGAAGAUGUAACGGGGCUGACGGUAGUCGUAUGCUCGUCUCCGAGACUAAGCCAUGCAAGUCCAAGUACACGUCCUUGAACGACGGAAACUGCGAACGGCUCAUUAAAUCAGUUG
rnacentral:rRNA from 1 species